AGGCCCGAAGAGAGAGAGGCAGGGUCUGAUCCCCAGCCUCUGUGGCACCUGUUGAUCAGCUGUUGCCUCUCUCUUUCUCUCCC
rfam:Myotis lucifugus cont2.6882, whole genome shotgun sequence.